rnacentral:lncRNA from 1 species
CAAAAUGUUAGCUGUCUUUUAACCGGCUGUUCUUCUUUGUCAACGCUACUAAGGACCUCUAGGUUCGCCUACUUGAUGAAUGAAAGAACAUGAGAAAGGGUUAUAAAGGAAAAGGCGAUGAAAGCCCACUACAGUACAGUCGAAGUCAGCGGCUGAGUUAGCCUAGCCUCGCCUACUAUUUCUUUUUAGUAGGCGAGCGAGUUAGCGAAGACGCUUAGGCUAAUAGAUAAGAGAGCGUCGGUGCGUAGCCUUCAUUCUACUACGCUACGCAAAGUCACUUAGCUCGACGUUAAGAGAGUAAAGGGGGAAUACCCUACAUAGAAGAACCACUGUUCGCUUACUAAGGUAUAACCUUUCGCUCCCCGGGGCAAAGCCGCUUCGCACCACUGAUAGAUCAUGCAA